GAUGAAGAACGCAGCGAAAUGCGAUAAGUAAUGUGAAUUGCAGAAUUCAGUGAAUCAUCGAAUCUUUGAACGCACAUUGCGCCCGCCAGUAUUCUGGCGGGCAUGCCUGUUCGAGCGUCAUUACAACCCUCAAGCCCCCCGGCUUGGUGUUGGGGACCGCCCACCGGUGCCCUGCUCCUUCCCCGGCAGGCGCACCCGGCCGCCCCCGAAAUAAAUUGCCGGCCCCGUCGCGGCCUCCCUCUGCGUAGUAGCACACAUCUCGCAGCUGGAGCGCGGCGCGGCCACUGCCGUAAAACGCACCAACUUUUUUUACAGUUGACCUCGAAUCAGGUAGGAAUACCCGCUGAACUUAAGCAUAUCAAUAAGCGGAGGA
rnacentral:misc_RNA from 1 species